GGAAGUGUGCCCGAACAAAAGGGCCACUUUGAUAGAGUGCAACAUGGGAGUUAAAGUCUCCCCACUUCCU
rnacentral:tRNA from 1 species